AUAUUUCUCGUGGCUUAUUGGCUAAGAUCAACUACAGUAUAUGUUCUUGUCAGUUUAAUAUAUGUGCAUCCGUGAGCUAUAUAUCUACUUCUAUAUUAAAUUUAUUUUCUGUGGGGGAGGACCCAUUAUAGUUGCUUGCCAUUGGGACCCUCACUUGUCGCCUACGCCUUGCAUUGCAGGCUAGGCCAGCGCACCCCCA